GGAUGACUUUCGACAAAAAGCUUUUCCACACUCACUACAUUUAUAAGGUUUUUCCCCUGUGUGAAUUCUCUGAUGAAUGAUUAGGUAUGACUUCUGA